UCUAUUGCAUUGAUUGCUACAUAUAGUCCAUCCUUGCAUCUGUGCUGGAGAGCAAAGUUACUCAAAGCUGUUACUGCACAGAUUUACUGCACCUUAUGUGUUCUGCAGCACCCAGCCACGUGCGUGCCCUCAGCCAGCAGCCCACAAUGGGCAGCCUGUGCCACGUUCAGCGAGAGCUUCGCUGCCUCCCCUGGUCCUGGGACAACAGCCUGCAAAAGGGAAGUUACCUUAAGAGUGACCAGUAUCCUGUCAGGGAGGUCAACAGAAGUUUAGCUGCUGACUCGGUGAACAGGACUGCAACCUGUAUCUGUGAUUAGUGAUGAAAUGAAACCCACGGCUUGAAAUCAUUUAUCCAGCGUAUCCGAUCAAACACAAACAUCCUCUGCACUUGGAAAUAAAUGAGGGUUGGAGCCAGCUCGCCUCUGCAGAGGUUUGUGACAUGUAAUAGAUUGAUGAGCUGAGAACAAGCUGCCACUCUCCACCCCCAUCGUCAGUGACUUUCCAGCUUGGGGAAGGGGACACUGAGGCCAGAGUUGAAGGAUAUACUUUCCAAUAAGUGUUUCAGUGGGAGGUGAGAAAUAUGAGCCCCUGGAGGGGGAGAAGGGAAAAAAAGGAAGGCACUGUACUCUGUUAAGCAGGGUACGGUUUAGACAGAGCAGCUGCCUGACAGACUUAUGGCAUGAGGGUGAGGGCAGGGGCAGCUUGUGCUUGCAGCACUUAUUAUUGAAUGCUACCCACAGGUACCAGGGCAGCACAGACUGAUUUCUGGCUGAUACGCUCUUUUUCCAGUUGCAUGUGAAGAUAAGGGACCUGUGAGACGAAAGGAGAAAGCUGAUGGAACAGCUGGCAAGGUCUGCCCACCGUGAGAUGCAGUAACAUCAGAAACAAUCCGUGUGGUUCCUCAGCACCCCUGUGGCACCUGCAGCUGCCAGGAAGGAGGGUCCUCAUGCUCAGGCAGCCCCACCAAAUGGCAACAGCCCCUCCAGUUUUGUUCUACUCCUCCGUUUCACAGCAGUAGGUUUUUGGGGAUCAAAGCUGAAAAUAAAGCCUGACUUUGAGUUCCAGUGUCACUGUUCAGUGAUUUUAAUUGGGAAAUUCAUGUUACUUUCCCUUUUUUUCUCCCCCUCUGUAGCAUGCCAACUCUAGAAGCAGAGCAGAAGGUUCAGGCUCUCAGAGUACCAUGCUUCCCCCAGUGCAGAGCAGAGAACAUCAGCUGAACCGAGCUGUCACAUCGUGGUCUGGGUGGGUGAGCAGUGAGAGCAUGGUCAGCCCGUGGUUCAGCUGGGGAACACUUACACGUGGAGCUGGGA
rnacentral:lncRNA from 1 species